rnacentral:rRNA from 1 species
AGAGUUUGAUCAUGGCUCAGGAUGAACGCUAGCUACAGGCUUAACACAUGCAAGUCGAGGGGAAACGACAUCGAAAGCUUGCUUUUGAUGGGCGUCGACCGGCGCACGGGUGAGUAACGCGUGUCCAACCUGCCCACCACUUGGGGAUAACCUUGCGAAAGUAAGACUAAUACCCAAUGACGUCUCUAGAAGACAUCUGAAGGAGAUUAAAGAUUUAUCGGUGAUGGAUGGGGAUGCGUCUGAUUAGCUUGUUGGCGGGGUAACGGCCACAAGGCGACGAUCAGGUAGGGGUUCUGAGAGGAACGGUCCCCACAUUGGAACUGAGACACGGUCCAAACGUCCUACGGGAGGCA